UACAGAGGGUGCGAGCGUUAAUCGGAAUUACUGGGCGUAAAGGGUGCGUAGGUGGCUUAUUAAGUUAGGUGUGAAAGUCCCCGAGCUUAACUUGGGGAUUGCGCCUAAUACUGAUGAGCUAGAGUACUGUAGAGGAAGGUGGAAUUUCCGGUGUAGCGGUGAAAUGCGUAGAUAUCGGAAGGAACACCAGUGGCGGAAGGCGACCUUCUGGACAGCUACUGACACGUGAGGC
rnacentral:rRNA from 1 species